GACGAACGCUGGCGGCGUGCUUAACACAUGCCAGUCGAACGGAAAGGCCUUUUCGGAGGUACUCGAGUGGCGAACGGGUGAGUAACACGUGGGUGAUCUGCCCUGCACUCUGGGAUAAGCCUGGGAAACUGGGUCUAAUACCGGAUAGGACCGCACUUUAGUGUGUGUGGUGGAAAGGUUUUUCGGUGUAGGAUGAGCCCGCGGCCUAUCAGCUUGUUGGUGGGGUAAUGGCCUACCAAGGCGGCGACGGUAGCCGGACUGAGAGGUUGGUCGGCCACAUUGGGACUGAGAUACGGCCCAGACUCCUACGGGAGGCAGCAGUGGGGAAUAUUGCACAAUGGGCGCAAGCCUGAUGCAGCGACGCCGCGUGGGGGAUGACGGCCUUCGGGUUGUAAACUCCGUUCGCCAGGGACGAAGCGUUUUGUGACGGUACCUGGAGAAGAAGCACCGGCUAACUACGUG
rnacentral:rRNA from 1 species